AUUGAACGCUGGCGGCAGGCCUAACACAUGCAAGUCGAACGAGUGGCGGACGGAUGAGUAAUGUCUGGGAAACUGCCUGAUGGAGGGGGAGAAAUACUGGAAACGGUAGCUAAUACCGCAUCCACUCCGAUGUGCCCAGAUGGGAUUAGCUAGUAGGUGGGGUAACGGCUCACCUAGGCGACGAUCCCUAGCUGGUCUGAGAGGAUGACCAGCCACACUGGAACUGAGACACGGUCCAGACUCCUACGGGAGGCAGCAGUGGGGAAUAUUGCACAAUGGGCGCAAGCCUGAUGCAGCCAUGCCGCGGGUAUGAAGAAGGCCUUCGGGUUGUAAAGUACUUUCAGCGGGGAGGCGUUACCCGCAGAAGAAGCACCGGCUAACUCCGUGCCAGCAGCCGCGGUAAUAC
rnacentral:rRNA from 1 species